ensembl:snoRNA Small nucleolar RNA SNORA23
GGUGAACGGUGUGCGUGGUGUCUGUCUGCGUUUAGUGUCGUCUCCAGUCUGUGUUUUACAGGCUGUGUGGCUGUGCUCACACCACACUUGCAGCCACAGAGCUACUGGAGAUCAUAGUACUGGCUUAGUGAUGUCUCCGUGACGUUAUACCACUAGCCAGCCUCCAAUCUCUCCUACAAAA